GGUAACAGAGAGAAGCUUGCUUUUCUGCUGACGACCGGCGCACGGGUGAGUAACGCGUAUACAAUCUGCCUUAUACAGAGGGAUAGCCUUUAGAAAUGAAGAUUAAUACCUUAUAGUCUAUUUUUAUAGCAUUAUAUAAAUAGUAAAGCUUCGGUGGUAUAAGAUGAGUAUGCGUCCUAUUAGUUAGUUGGUAAGGUAACGGCUUACCAAGACAACGAUAGGUAGGGGCCCUGAGAGGGGGAUCCCCCACACUGGUACUGAGACACGGACCAGACUCCUACGGGAGGCAGCAGUGAGGAAUAUUGGACAAUGGAGGCAACUCUGAUCCAGCCAUGCCGCGUGCAGGAAGACGGCCCUAUGGGUUGUAAACUGCUUUUAUAUAGGAAGAAACCUUUUCACGUGUGAGAAGCUGACGGUACUAUAAGAAU
rnacentral:rRNA from 1 species